rnacentral:lncRNA from 1 species
UCAUAUUGCCUCUAAAAUAUUAUUUUUUAUGGCAAUUCAUUAUUUCUAAGACGAGGAGAAUAAGAGAUAUUUAGUGAACAUGUAUGUUAGGCCGAUAAGCCGCCCAUUAACCGCCCUAUAAGAGCUAACCCGAUACCAAUCCGCCCGAUAUCUUAUCGGGUGGCUAACGGAUUAAACAUUUAAAAGCCGAAAACCGUUAAGCCAAAC